rnacentral:rRNA from 1 species
UUGAACGCUGGCGGCAGGCCUUAACACAUGCAAGUCGAACGCGAAAAGGGGGCAACCCUGCAAGUAGAGUGGCGAACGGGUGAGUAAUGCAUCGGAACGUAUCCAGUAGCGGGGGAUAACCUGCUCGAAAGAUAGGCUAAUACCGCAUACGACCUAUGGGUGAAAGAGGAGGAUCGCAAGGACCUUCGCACUAUUGGAGCUGGCCGAUGUCGGAUUAGCUAGUUGGUGGGGUAAAAGCCUACCAAGGCGACGAUCCGUAGCUGGUCUGAGAGGACGACCAGCCACACUGGAACUGAGACACGGUCCAGACUCCUACGGGAGGCAGCAGUGGGGAAUUUUGGACAAUGGGCGCAAGCCUGAUCCAGCCAUGCCGCGUGAGUGAAGAAGGCCUUCGGGUUGUAAAGCUCUUUCGGCGGGGACGAAAUGGUACGUGAUAAUACCACGCGCAUCCGAUGACGGUACCCGCAGAAGAAGCACCGGCUAACUACGUGCCAGCAGCCGCGGUAAUACGUAGGGUGCAGGCGUUAAUCGGAAUUACUGGGCGUAAAGCGUGCGCAGGCGGUUUGCUAAGACAGGUGUGAAAUCCCCGGGCUUAACCUGGGAACUGCGCUUGUUACUGGCAGGCUGGAGUGUGGCAGAGGGGGGUAGGAAUUCCACGUGUAGCAGUGAAAUGCGUAGAGAUGUGGAGGAAUACCGAUGGCGAAGGCAGCCCCCUGGGCUAACACUGACGCUCAUGCACGAAAGCGUGGGGAGCAAACAGGAUUAGAUACCCUGGUAGUCCACGCCCUAAACUAUGUCAACUGGUUGUCGGGGAAGCAAUUCCUUGGUAACGAAGCUAACGCGUGAAGUUGACCGCCUGGGGAGUACGGCCGCAAGGUUAAAACUCAAAGGAAUUGACGGGGACCCGCACAAGCGGUGGAUUAUGUGGAUUAAUUCGAUGCAACGCGAAAAACCUUACCUACCCUUGACAUGUCCAGGAACUCCGCAGAGAUGUGGAAGGUGCCCGAAAGGGAAGCCUGUAACACAGGUGCUGCAUGGCUGUCGUCAGCUCGUGUCGUGAGAUGUUGGGUUAAGUCCCGCAACGAGCGCAACCCUUGCCAUUAGUUGCCUACAUUCAGUUGGGCACUCUAGUGGGACUGCCGGUGACAAACCGGAGGAAGGUGGGGAUGACGUCAAGUCCUCAUGGCCCUUAUGGGUAGGGCUUCACACGUAAUACAAUGGUCCGGUACAAAGGGCAGCCAACCCGCGAGGGGGAGCUAAUCCCAGAAAGCCUAUCGUAGUCCGGAUUGCUAGUCUGCAACUCGACUGCAUGAAGCCGGAAUCGCUAGUAAUCGCUGGAUCAGCAUGUCACGGUGAAUACGUUCCCGGGUCUUGUACACACCGCCCGUCACACCAUGGGAGUGGGUUCCACCAGAAGUAGUUAGCCUAACCGCAAGGAGGGCGACUACCACGGUGAGAUUCAUGACUGGGGUG